rnacentral:rRNA from 1 species
CACGUAGGCGGCAUAGCAAGUUAAGGGUGAAAUCCCGGGGCUCAACUCCGGAACUGCUCUUAAAACUGCUAAGCUAGAGACAGUCAGAGGCGGGUGGAAUUCCUGGUGUAGAGGUGAAAUUCGUAGAUAUCAGGAGGAACACCGGUGGCGAAGGCGGCCCGCUGGGACUGUUCUGACGCUAAGGUGCGAAAGCGUGGGGAGCGAACAGGAUUAGAUACCCUGGUAGUCC